GCUGCGGAUCCUGGACGUCACCCGCUCUGGCCCGUGCGUGCGGCGGGUGAGUGGCCCCGGGGUCUCCGCGGCCGAGGCGCUGGGACGCCCUUCCUGACAGCCGCUCUCCCGGCACGUAGCGCUCGCCUGACUCAGCGCUGAGUCACCGCUCCCGCGGACUCCCGCUUCGCCCUGCACAGCCAGAGGCUGCCGGGCUCCGUGCACGCCGAGGCCGAGCCCUCAGUGCUGCAGACCGGUCUCUGCGCUUCCCGGAGCAGCGCAGGGUUUACAGCUUUUGAAUCCCGACCAAGCCCAGCACUAACUUCCUGCGUUGUUUUCUUUGCCUUAAGGGCUGACUAGUCUAGGGAUCAAAUUCUUCCAUCGAAGCUUGUUGGCGCAAAUCCCGGCUUUGUCCUUGAACAGUGACUUUGAGAUGAUCUUCGUUUGGAUUUUUUUAAUACUUCCGCGGUUCCAAACUUCUGUCUUAUUUAUGCCCUCCGUUUCCUAAGGUUAUCUUUUCAGUGUGUUUGGUAACUAAUCUUGUCAUAAAGCCACACUGCGGUGACGCAAGUCAGGUUGGAAUCUGGCAUGGUGUACAGGCAGUGACUUACUGUAAAAUCCAGGGCCUUCAUCGCGACAUCCUAUCUGUCAUCUCAGGCACUGAUUAGCUUCCUUGCCCUUGGAGAGGUCCCGGGGAUUUAGAAGGCCUGUUGAAAUCUGUCUUUAUAGCGGCCAUGUUUCUUGCUUCCUCCUCGGAGUUUAAAAUGAAGAGAACGAUAGAUAAGCAUUUCUGCAAACGUAGCUUGGACCACCUGUCCCAGAGCACAAUUUUACUCCAAACUGCAGCUGCAGAAUGUCCUGAAUAAAACUAGAAACCGGCCACCUGCCAGUGAAACACGUGAUCCGCAAAGCCUACCAGAGGAUAGGAGGAAAGCAGUUUUCCUAGACUGAACACACAGACCACGUUGGUUCUGGUGUUCUUAUUCAUCUUUCUGUCUAAAAUACUGGAAAGGUAAAAUGCGGGGCGGCCACAUAAAAUAUCAGCGUACUGUUAUAGUGAUAGCCAUUUACAUCGCUGUUGAUAUGGUAGAGAUGGAACCGAAGGCCUGAUGCUCUAAUCAGACACUGCUACACAGCUAUAGCCUCAGCAGGAAGUUGUUCCGACUUCCGAUCCCUGGACAUUUUCAUUUCUCUGGGAAACUCUUCCAGCUUCAUCUUUGCUAGCAUUGGAGCAAACUCCCCAACAAGCCCUUGUUGGUCCAAGUAGAGUUCUUGGACCAGCAACCCAGCAUCACAAAGUAGCUCAUAAGAAGCACAGGCUCUCUGAGCUGCUGACGCAGCAAAGACGGAGGAGUGCUUGCCUAGUAUGCUUGAAGACUGGAGUGGAGGAAGGGAGAACAGAAGUUCAAAAUCAUCCUCCGCUGCGUCCUUAGAGCCUAGAAUCUCAGACUCCAUCCAAAAUUGGCAUGUUUACGAGGUCUCUUUAUAUCGUGAACUUGGGAAGAACUGAUCAGUGGGCUGGCAGAGCUUGGACCCCCAAGUGGAGCAUGCCUCCAUUGUUUGUGAGUUCUGUCUCAGCUCAGAGUGGAUGGGCGCACAGUUCCAGGGGAGCAAGGAUGUGUGCAACAGAAACUAGUGUUAGCCACACUUGUUCAUCUAGGUGGAUCAUCUCCAGAGACUGAAGAUAUCAGCAGGGCCUAGGAUAUCUGGGCGGCUCCUUCUCCUUCUGCUCCCAGCCCCAAAUCUAACCCUUCAAUAAGGUUACUGGGAAGAAGGUUAAGCCCAUUUAUUUACUUUCUGUAGAUGACUGGUCCAUUUCCUCACACACUCACAAAUCACUCUGUAAAUUAACACAUCAUGAAUACUUAAACAGUGAAUCUGAUUUUUGGAGACUUGUCAAAAACAUGUUUAAAAAAAAACUGCUAAACUAAAAAUCAAAUUUUGACUUAUGAUAUUUCCAAAGAAAAUCAGCUUCUGAAAUGAACUUGUGAGAAAAUAACCAACCAGCAACCCUCUGUCCUUCCCUGGUUAAUGAAACAGGGGAGGCUGCUGUGGGAAGAGGAAAUCAUCCGGGAACUCCAGACAGGGAAGAAGGCUACAUUCUUACCGAGUGGCUUGCGUUAGCAUUGCUGUGGCCUCGGCACACUGUUACAUUGGGGAGAAGAUGUUAAAGUAGAUCUUCAAUGGUUCUUGCUCUUUUGCUGCAUACCUCACAAUCAUGCAUUGGAAUAGACAGAGGCAGCACUAGGAAAUGUCACCUAUACUUUUCAAUUACAAAGGACAUGAAUUUCAGAGGGAGUUGUUAUCCAUAAAGAUAGUAGUAGAACAUUCUAAAUUACUUUUACCUUAAACUUUAAUCUAGAUUGGGUUCAACAACUCAUCUGGUAAAGAAAGUCAUUUGCCACCAAGUCUGACAAUAUAAGUUUAAGUCUUAAAACCCCAUACACAAAAAACAAACAAACAAAUAAAC
ensembl:lincRNA 9330111N05Rik RIKEN cDNA 9330111N05 gene